CGUUUUCAAAACACCCUGAAAAUUUUCCUAAGUUGGAUAUUAUUUGAAUUUGCAAAUUACCACAUGAAUAAAUAAAGCCAAGCCCAAAGGAAGCUGGGGAAAAAUAAUAUAAUAACAAUUAGAAAGAGGAGGAGUUAUGCCGAUUAUUCAUGAAGGUGAAUAAAGUAAUUAAAAAAUAUGGAGGGAACAAAUAUUUAACAAGAAAUGCCGACAUAAUAGUUUAGAGAAGGUUGAAUCCAAGAAAACUACUGUAUAUCUCUAUUCUUUUUCUCUCUCUCUCUCUCUCUAGAAAAAUCAAUCUCAAAAUACUAGUAUAAGAAGAAGCUUGUUCCUCCAUCCUCCAUGAAAAUAAAUGUGUUUAAUAAACACCAACAAGAUAGAGAAUAGAUAGAGAACUGGUCAAGUCCAAGAUCCUUGGGAUGGAGAAAUUGGAAAAUGCAGGUACCAAAAAAAAGCCAUCAGAGUUUAAAAUGUCAAAGGGGACUGGGAUAAGAAAGUAAUUCAAGAAAUUACUGUUAUAUAUGAUGAGAGACUGAAGAUACAGACAAUGACUGGAUUAUACUUGAUGUGAUCAUAAAAUAUGGUGAGUACUUUAAUCUUAAAAAUUAUUGCAGUAAAAAUCACACUGCCAUCAACACCCCUCAA
rnacentral:lncRNA from 1 species